GACGAACGCUGGCGGCGUGCUUAACACAUGCAAGUCGAACGGAAAGGCCCUGCUUUUGUGGGGUGCUCGAGUGGCGAACGGGUGAGUAACACGGGAGUAACCUGCCCUGGACUUUGGGAUAACUUCAGGAAACUGGGGCUAAUACCGGAUAGGAGCUCCUGCUGCAUGGGGGGGGUGGGAAAGUUUCGGCGGUUGGGGAUGGACUCGCGGCUUAUCAGCUGGUUGGUGGGGUAGUGGCUUACCAAGGCUUUGACGGGUAGCCGGCCUGAGAGGGUGACCGGCCACAUUGGGACUGAGAUACGGCCCAGACUCCUACGGGAGGCAGCAGUGGGGAAUAUUGCACAAUGGGCGGAAGCCUGAUGCAGCAACGCCGCGUGCGGGAUGACGGCCUUCGGGUUGUAAACCGCUUUCGCCUGUGACGAAGCGUGAGUGACGGUAAUGGGUAAAGAAGCACCGGCUAACUACGUG
rnacentral:rRNA from 1 species